AAAACGGAGAGACCCUCUUGGACAACGUAGUGAACGAGUGACUAAGGCUCCCGAGCGCGGAGACCUUGGCCUGGUGACCCGUUGCUGCAGACAGUCUACCCGGAGGGAUGUGGGAGCUGCAGUCUGGCUGGGAACGGGGCAGGUGCAGGUCUGAAAGCUGCUUGGCGGCCGGUAUAGGUUACAGACAUGGGCCGCCUGGUUUAAAUCCGGACCCUGCACCCUUGCCAGCUGUGUGACCAGUGUGCACUUCAUUAACCUCUGUGCUUCAUCUGUAAAAUGGGGUUGAUAAAAGUUUCUACUGCAUAGGGUUGUAAGGAUAAAAUGAAUUCAUCCAUGCGAUGUUUUGUUGCACAGGCCCUGGACCCUAACAAGUGCACACUAUUAAGUUGUUAUAGAAUUUUAAAAGAAUUUUUUUUUUUAGGUUGUAUAUUGCAAAGGAAUAUAAAUUCUAGGUCAUUAAAAGGAUGUAGUUUUGGGGGGAGUCUCACUCUGGGGAGCAGUCAUCAUAGUUUGAGGAAAUCCAAACUACCCAAGCAGAGAGAUGACACAGGAACCGAGGCCUCCAGCCAACUGCCAGCAUCAGCCACUAGACAUGUGAGCAAACUGGUCUCCAGUAGCACAUCAGUGAAUGCAUUUGGGGAAAAUCAAAUAAUGAAGAACAUUGAAUACUACCUGAUUCCUCCCUACUCUCAUCCCCAGAGAUACUACUUUUUUUUUUUACAAAUUGAAGGCAAGACCCUCCACCAGCAACGAUUACAGAUUGCUUCAUUGCGAUGUCUGGAACUGAACCCCCAAUACCU